rnacentral:rRNA from 1 species
AUUGAACGCUGGCGGUAUGCUAACACAUGCAAGUCGAACGGUAACAGGCCUUCGGGCGCUGACGAGUGGCGGACGGGUGCGUAACGCGUAGGAAUCUGCCUGGUAGUGGGGGACAACUUGGGGAAACUCAAGCUAAUACCGCAUACGCCCUACGGGGGAAAGCGGGGGACCUUCGGGCCUCGCGCUAUCAGAUAAGCCUGCGUUGGAUUAGCUGGUUGGUAGGGUAAAGGCCCACCAAGGCGACGAUCCAUAGCUGGUCUGAGAGGACGAUCAGCCACACUGGGACUGAGACACGGCCCAGACUCCUACGGGAGGCAGCAGUGGGGAAUAUUGGACAAUGGGCGCAAGCCUGAUCCAGCAAUACCGCGUGUGUGAAGAAGGCCUGAGGGUUGUAAAGCACUUUUAAUCGGGAGGAAAACCUGUCGGCGAAUACCCGGCGGCUUGACAUUACCGAUAGAAAAAGCACCGGCUAACUCCGUGCCAGCAGCCGCCGUAACAC